rnacentral:lncRNA from 1 species
UUUGAAUAAUAAUGUUUGUAAUAUUUCAGAAGAUGGCAGAAAAAGAAAAAAAAUAGAAAAAGAAAAUAGAAAAGAAAAAAAAGAAAUGAAAAAAUAGAAGGAUAAGAGGAAGAAAAAAUAGAAGGAUAAGAGGAAGAAAAAAAAGGAAUUAUGUUUAUAAUAUUUCAAUACAUGUCAAUACAUACUCCUUCAAAAAAAAUGAAUAAAAAGAGGAAGGAGAAAAGAAAACAAUUGCUAUAAAGUUGUUCAAGUGAAUGAAAUAUUUUAUAAAUUCAACUCCCGCAGUUUCUUUCAAGUCUCUUUUAUCUCUUUGAAUUUUAGCCUAGUACCCCUUAGGAUUUAUC